rnacentral:rRNA from 1 species
UACGUAGGCAGCGAGCGUUGUUCGGAGUUACUGGGCGUAAAGCGUGCGUAGGCGGUGUCUUAAGUUUGUUGUGAAAUCUCCCGGCUUAACCGGGAGGGUGCGGCGAAUACUGAGAUGCUGGAGUGCCGGAGAGGUAAGCGGAAUUCCUGGUGUAGCGGUGAAAUGCGUAGAUAUCAGGAGGAACACCUGCGGUGUAGACGGCUUACUGGACGGUAACUGACGCUGAGGCGCGAAAGCGUGGGGAGCAAACAGG